UAGGGAAUCUUCGGCAAUGGACGAAAGUCUGACCGAGCAACGCCGCGUGAGUGAAGAAGGUUUUCGGAUCGUAAAACUCUGUUGUUAGAGAAGAACAAGGACGUUAGUAACUGAACGUCCCCUGACGGUAUCUAACCAGAAAGCCACGGCUAACUACGUGCCAGCAGCCGCGGUAAUACUUAGGUGGCAAGCGUUGUCCGGAUUUAUUGGGCGUAAAGCGAGCGCAGGCGGUUUCUUAAGUCUGAUGUGAAAGCCCCCGGCUCAACCGGGGAGGGUCAUUGGAUACUGGGAGACGUGAGUGCAGAAGAGGAGAGUGGAAUUCCAGGUGUAGCGGUGAAAUGCGUAGAUAUAUGGAGGAACACCAGUGGCGAAGGCGGCUCGCUGGUCUGUAACUGACGCUGAGGCUCGAAAGCAUGGGGAGCAAACAGG
rnacentral:rRNA from 1 species